CACACGCCCAGGAUUUCUUGCGUGCAGUUUGUGAAGAAAAAAUUAGGUUCCGUGGGGACCCCGCUGCCUGGAGUACAGGUGCGCAUUGUCUCAGAAAACCCACAGAAGGACGGCUGCUCCUACACCAUCCACGCAGAGGGAGAUGAGAGGGGGACCAAGGUGACCCCAGGGCUUGAAGAAAAGGAGGGGGAGCUGCUCGUGAGGGGACCCUCUGUGUUUCCAGAAUACUGGAAUAAACCAGAAGAAACAAAGAGGGCAUUCACCCUGGAUGGCUGGUUUAAGACAGGGGACACCGUGGUUUUUAAGGAUGGCCAGUUAACCAGAGCCCCUUUUCCCCAGGGGACACCGUGGUGUUUAAGGAUGGCCAGUACUGGAUCCGAGGCCGGACCUCAGUGGACAUCAUCAAGACCGGAGGCUACAAGGUCAGCGCCCUGGAGGUGGAGUGGCACCUGCUGGCCCACCCCAGCAUCACAGAUGUGGCUGUGAUUGGAGUUCCGGAUAUGACAUGGGGCCAGCGGGUCACUGCUGUGGUGACCCUCCGAGAAGGACACUCACUGUCCCACAGGGAGCUCAAAGAGUGG
rnacentral:sRNA from 1 species